rnacentral:rRNA from 1 species
AUUGAACGCUGGCGGCAGGCCUAACACAUGCAAGUCGAGCGGAUGAAGGGAGCUUGCUCCUGGAUUCAGCGGCGGACGGGUGAGUAAUGCCUAGGAAUCUGCCUGGUAGUGGGGGAUAACGUCCGGAAACGGGCGCUAAUACCGCAUACGUCCUGAGGGAGAAAGUGGGGGAUCUUCGGACCCCACGCUAUCAGAUGAGCCUAGGUCGGAUUAGCUAGUUGGUGGGGUAAAGGCCUACCAAGGCGACGAUCCGUAACUGGUCUGAGAGGAUGAUCAGUCACACUGGAACUGAGACACGGUCCAGACUCCUACGGGAGGCAGCAGUGGGGAAUAUUGGACAAUGGGCGAAAGCCUGAUCCAGCCAUGCCGCGUGUGUGAAGAAGGUCUGCGGAUUGUAAAGCACUUUAAGUUGGGAGGAAGGGCAGUAAGUUAAUACCUGGCUGUUUUGACGUUACCAACAGAAUAAGCACCGGCUAACUUCGU